ACCAAUGUUUUUAUUCGUAUUGGAAAGCAAAAUGAAGCUGCUUUGGAAAUAAUUUUGCAAUUGAAAUCAGUCGGAGCCCCUGACAAAUCUAGUGUUCAUUGGUUGAAGUUAAUAAUCUGAGGAAACUCAUUCAUUAACACAAUAACUAGGUUUGAGUGUCAUAUUGCUUUAAGACAGUUUACAAUGUUUUUAUAUUUCUACAAAUGCUUUCAUCUGACAUCAUCACUGUCAUUUUAAGACUGUAAAAGUGAUUUUGAUUGGUGGCCAUCAAAUGAAAAAGCGACAUGUCUCAUUAAAUAUCGAGCAUUUAGUAAAUAUUCCAAAGAUGUCUGAAGCAUUCUGAGGCUGUCUGAAAAAUAUACUGAAGAUUCUUAAAAGUUCAGACCAAUGUUUUUAUUCGUAUUGGAAAGCAAAAUGAAGCUGCUUUGGAAAUAAUUUUGCAAUUGAAAUCAGUCGGAGCCCCUGACAAAUCUAGUGUUCUUUGGUUGAAGUUAAUAAUCUGAGGAAACUCAUUCAUUAACACAAUAACUAGGUUUGAGUGUCAUAUUGCUUUAAGACAGUUUACAAUGUUUUUAUAUUUCUACAAAUGCUUUCAUCUGACAUCAUCACUGUCAUUUUAAGACUGUAAAAGUGAUUUUGAUUGGUGGCCAUCAAAUGAAAAAGCGACAUGUCUCAUUAAAUAUCGAGCAUUUAUUAAAUAUUCCAAAGAUGUCUGAAGCAUUCUGAGGCUGUCUGAAAAAUAUACUGAAGAUUCUUAAAACAGAUUUGAAUUUGCCAUCGACGUCAUCGCACUUUGGAUGAAUGCGGCGCUUUAAAUAUUUUACUUGAUUUAUAUAAAAAAUUAAGAAAC